GAAACUAACAAGGAUUCCCCUAGUAACUGCGAGUGAAGCGGGAUAAGCUCAAAUUUAAAAUCUGGUGGUCUUUGGCCGCCCGAGUUGUAGUCUGGAGAAGUGCUUUCCGCGCUGGACCGUGUACAAGUCUCUUGGAACAGAGCGUCGUAGAGGGUGAGAAUCCCGUCUUUGACACGGACUACCAGUGCUUUGUGAUGCGCUCUCAAAGAGUCGAGUUGUUUGGGAAUGCAGCUCAAAAUGGGUGGUGAAUUCCAUCUAAAGCUAAAUAUUGGCGAGAGACCGAUAGUGAACAAGUACCGUGAGGGAAAGAUGAAAAGCACUUUGGAAAGAGAGUUAAACAGUACGUGAAAUUGCUGAAAGGGAAACGCUUGAAGUCAGUCGCGUUGUUCAGAACUCAGCCUUGCUUCCGCUUGGUGCAUUUUCUGACUAACGGGCCAGCAUCGAUUCUGACCGUCGGAAAAGGGCCAGAGUAAUGUGGCACCUCCGGGUGUGUUUAUAGACUUUGGUCAUAUACGGCGGUCGGGAUCGAGGAACGCAGCGCGCCGCAAGGCAGGGGUUCGCCCACUUUCGCGCUUAGGAUGCUGGCGUAAUGGCUUUAAACGACCCGUCUUGAAACACGGACCAAGGAGUCUAACAUGCCUGCGAGUGUUUGGGUGGAAAACCCGAGCGCGUAAUGAAAGUGAAAGUUGAGACCUCUGUCGUGGAGGGCAUCGACGCCCGGACCUGACGUUCUCUGAAGGAUCCGCGGUAGAGCAUGUAUGUUGGGACCCGAAAGAUGGUGAACUAUGCCUGAAUAGGGUGAAGCCAGAGGAAACUCUGGUGGAGGCUCGUAGCGAUUCUGACGUGC
rnacentral:rRNA from 1 species